AAGGAGGAAACCGAAAAACCUUAAUAGAGUAGGUA
ncrna:unclassified sequences DTF805b RNA